rnacentral:sRNA from 1 species
CAGCCACAGCCUGAGCCUCUUGUUCCUUCCCCUGAAGUUCCACCAGAGCCCCCAACCAAUGAAGACAACGAACGUACUUCUGUGAUCUUCACUUUCCGUGGUGAAUUCCUCGGUCGAUGGGAGCAAAGGUCAGUGAAAUUCCGGAUGAACCAAGAAUCGUAUUCCCCAAACUCAGAACCACUGAGUAUCACUUUAUUAGAAAUCUGAUUAAGAAGUUUACAACUACCUUAAUUGGUUUUACACAAGAUCUAAACUACUUUAGCUUGUCACCAGAGAUUUCCCUAAACACACAAGAGCAGAUCACAAGAACACACUCUUUGAUCUCUCUAGAAUUCCAAUCAGACUAAACCUUAGUCUCUAAUAAUAAAAAGCGUUGCACUAGCUUUUCACUCACAAUCACGGCCAAGUCUAACAAGAACCUUAGCACCUCUAUUUAUACUAUCGAGGUCUUUGGUCUUCUAGGUUAGCCUUCGAGAUCUUGGAUCACUCCAAAUCUUCGCGUGAAUAUCUCCUCUCCAAACUGAACUCAUCCUGUUGUGAUCUCCACGUCAUUCGUUCAUUUGGCGGCAUAUCCACGUCAGCAUCAAUUACUUGAUCUUCACUUUAGUCUUCUGAAACAGCUUCCAGCUUGUUCCAGCAAUCAGCACUCCUUCUGGUUUGUCCUGACAGAGGGUGCACUAACAAUCUCCCCCUUUUUGAUACAAUUUGUCAAUUCAAGCAAUCCUGCAAGAAACCCCUCAAAGAAAACUCACAAGCACACAUCAAGGCAUAGAGAUAAUAAGCAGCGGAAAUAAACAAUAGAGGGUCUCAUCAUAGAUUGCAUAAACAAGU